rnacentral:rRNA from 1 species
CCUACGGGAGGCUGCAGUAACGAAUCUUCCGCAAUGGGCGAAAGCCUGACGGAGCAAUGCCGCGUGUAGGAUUAAGCAUCUUCGAUGUGUAAACUACUGUCAAUGUCUAGAAACAAUGAUCAGACAUAAAGGAAGGACCGGCUAAUUCAGUGCCAGCAGCCGCGGUAAUACUGAAGGUCCGAGCGUUAAUCGGAAUCACUGGGCUUAAAGCGUACGCAGGCGGAUUUGUAGGUAUCUUGUGAAAUCCCACGGCUCAACCGUGGAACUGCAGGGUAAACCGCAAAUCUUGAGACAAGUAGGGGUCAGUGGAACUAUGAGUGGAGCGGUGAAAUGCGUAGAUAUUCAUGGGAACGCCAAUGGCGAAGGCAACUGACUGGGCUUGUUCUGACGCUCAGGUACGAAAGCGUGGGUAGCGAACGGGAUUAGAUACCCUUGUAGUC